UGCGUAGGUGGUUUUGUAUGUCGGAUGUGAAAGCCCACGGCUCAACCGUGGAAUUGCAUCCGAAACUGCGAAGCUCGAGUGCAGGAGGGGAGAGCGGAAUUCUUGGUGUAGCGGUGAAAUGCGUUGAUAUCAAGAAGAACACCGGUGGCGAAGGCGGCUCUCUGGAAUGUUACUGACACUGAGGCACGAAAGUUGGGGUAGCAAACAGGAUUAGAUACCCUGGUAGUCC
rnacentral:rRNA from 1 species